GAAAAGAAUCAGAAGGAGAGGGGAAAAGGAAAAGGUACCACGAGCCAAACCCUAUCCGCCUCCGGCCUUCUCCUCUUCUCCCCUCGCGCCGCCAUCCCAGCCGCCACCCUGCGAGCCUCUUAUCCCCACGGCGAGCCUCUCCUCCCCAUCGUGCGAGAGCCUUCCGUUUUGCCGGCGGCGCUUAGGUUCGCCUGCAGCGGCUCGAUUGGAAGCGCGGGUUGGCAUGUCCGCGAGAUGGACUGGGGAAGAAGGUCGUGGGGCCAUGGUGUGGUGGCUAGUGGCGAGGACAGGGGCGGCCGGCGAGCUGCGAGGGGGUGGCGGUGUCUGGGGAGGAACCAGCAGCCUCUUCGUCUCCUAGGCCUCUGCCUCGAUGUCGUCUUCUCCACCAGAUCUUCGUCCAGGACAUGGUGGUGGUGGAUCCAACCCGACCAGGGGUCCUCAUGUUGUCUUCUCCACCGGAUCCAACAAAUUGCUACUGGGAAAGUCGGAGCCAGAUCCGCAGGUUCCCAUAUCUUUUCCUUCCUCCAAAAUUUCCAGCGUUGCCAAACAUAUGUAGAACUACUACAGCUGAUAGAAGAUCGAUCUACAGUAGGAACUUGGGAGAUUCAAUUUGGUCAACGUGAAGAGCGUUAGUGAUGACUCAUCGGAUGUGAUUGGCUGUGUCCACUUGGGUAGCAGUAUGAGGAGUGAGGUGUGCAGUUCCUCCUAGGGGUUCAACCCAGAGAACAUCCGCUGCAACAGGCACGACGAGCCUGAUGGAUAGGGCUCAUUGGCAGAUGAUUUCGCCGGUGGGGUGGUUGCCCAUCCUGGUGCCGAGAAUGCUCUACACAUCCUCUCCUGAAUCUUUCAUCAUGCUGACGGUUGAAGCAGCAAAGGUGACGAUUCUGCUGCCAGUAGAAGCAGGCUAGCGUUGCUGGUUUGGUCGGAGAUGACAGGGGCACGAGCAGGAGGGGUGAGUGGUCAUGGCCAGCGUUCGGCCACUGUCGGAGCAGGCGAAGGUGGAGCAAGGGUGGAAGUUGCAGCACUGCAUGAAGUGAACUCUAAAUGUAUUUGCUGACGAAAUAAUUCCUUUUUAUGUGAGUACUUUGCAAAUGUUUAUGCACGACCUGGAAUAAUACCUACUGCAGGCUAUUGUGUGUCAUCGGUCUUCUCAUGCCCACCAGAAUAGAAAGCUUAAUGUUAUCGUAUAAACACAAGUUCCUCCAUGUUGGAAGUUGCAUCAGGAAGGAUAACAGAUUUGCUACGAACUUUGUUAACGGUUAAAAAAAAAAGCAGAAAGUUCAUGGCUACUAAACUUGCUUCAUGAAGAAUAGCAGGUUUGCUACUAAUUCUGGUCAGGUGCGUCGCAGGUUUGUUACAAAUGUUGAUUUUUUAAUACAUUGCAGGUUUGCUACCAAAUUUCGGAAAAGAAUUAACCCCCUUUUGAAUUACCAUCCGUAGAGGUAAUACCUCAAGCUAGGGGAUUCAGAGAACACCUAAUAUAUUUGUGGACCAGUACUUGUUCUGGUGAUACUUUUCAGUAACCCUUUCAUAGUAGCUUUUAUGCUUUUCUAAAUAUGUGCGGACAUCUAAAGCAUCUGUGUUUUAUAUAUUUCUUAGUUGCAAUCGUGCAUCACCAUAUUUCAUUACCACAGUAAUCAGUUUGUUGUUUAAUUUUAGCUACAUAAAUAUAUGUUAUAUAUCUGGCCUAGGUUCGCAGAUUUAUAAAUUUAGAAUCUUUUUGUUGUAUUCAUUCUCUUAUCUUCUUCCAGGUUUGCCUGGAAAAUAGUCUAUGGUACUUUUAUGUCUCCAAGGAGGCUGGGUCUGAUCUGUUGUUACCCAAGCUUGCCAAGAAGGUUUCAGAGAGGUUAAGAGGACAAUCCCAAAGAACUAUUGUGCAUGUCCAGUCAAUGACAUUCUAUUAGCGUGAUCCAUAUUUGGUAUUCUGGCAGUGCGAUGGAUUAUAUUAGCCAGCAGUGGUGAAUGAGAAACCGUGGCAGAGGAUGCCGCUUGGCCUCCGCGGCAGCCGUAUGCGUGGACUCUUAUGCUUUGUAUGAACUGCAGCAACAUAGCCUGCAGCUAGCACACUCUGGAUUGCCAUGAUGGAUCGCAACAGCUACCGCACUUGGUUUGCUCAUUUGAAUUUGUAGGCUGGUGUUGGUUCUCAUAUCAAUCAUGGCAAGUUUGCUCACCAAACCAAAUAAGCGCACUAAUGAAAAUUUGAAAUAUCCAUUGAGAUUACUUCAUAUGAAUUUUUUAGGCUGGUGUUGGGCCUGGUAUUAUAGUUUACCCUUUAUACAAUAUUGUGGGGGGGGGGGGGGGUUCAUUUAGUUUCUCCUUUUUCUAUAUAAACAAUGCAGCCACUUUGAACCUCUGGUUUUAUACGAGCCAUUAGGUUUGAUGAAUUAGUCAUAUUUUGAUUAUUCUUACUAAAUCAACUAGAAGAGAAGGAGCUCCCAAUGUUGCAAGAAAUACCAAGCAUGAGAUACCUGACAUGUCAUUGCUCAAUAUAAAGCGGCUCCACAAUAUCCCUUUUGUCGUUCGUAUUCCUAGACUAACAACCAUUGUACAAUUGUUCUGCCGCUUCUAGAAAUGGUGAUGGAACCAUGGCGUCACAUUGUAUCUAUAUCGUUUGUGCUUUACAGGUUGCUACUAUUGUAUUUCAGCCCAUCUGUUACCUUGAAACUGACAUUUUUAAAUUUAUGGUCUUCACUUACUGAAAAUCAGUACCACCGAUUUGAAAUCAUUUGACACGCGUAUUUGGAUGCAUGUACAGAGAACUCAAUUUGGCAAAUAGGCAGAUCUUCUAUUUUAUGACUCCAUUCUUAUUAUCUUUCUAAUUGUUUUUUAACUGAUCUACGCUCCUCUUCUUUGACGUGGUUCCAUUUUGUAGGUUCUGAUAAAUAUGUCUGCUUACUGAGUGAUACUGAAUCUUGAAUUUUCAAGUUUGGUGGUUGGGAUUUUAAAAUAUCAUGUGGGUGUUUAGCAGUGAUCUAUGCCUUGAAUCCAUAAAGUGUAUUGUUUGGAAAUUAAAGAAAUUGUGGAUACUCCCAUAUUUUAUUAAUUUCCAUUCAAUUAUUUAUUGUAUUCUUGCAGAUUGGGCUAGAAUUAAUAAUCUAUCACCAAACCUGAUUCUGGAGCAUAUUUGUUGCUAGCAGGACCAAAACAUGAUUCAAAUAGAACUGUAAACUAACUUACAGAUAACCUCUUUUAUUUGGGAAUAGUUCUCUCACAAAUUUCUUCAUCGCUUUGGCAACUCAAGCUAUAAGUGCAUAGUCAUUUACUCGAUGAAAGAAAUUUAGCUCUUCCUUUCAGAUUCUUCUAUGCUUUCCCACUAAUUAUGUUAUGCCGUACAUCAUGGUACUUCUGUUAGUCCUUCUAGGACCAAAUCUACCUUACAUUAUUUACAAGUGUCUGUUAACUAAUAUCGUGUACCACUGCGCCCAGUCUCUAAAUUAUAAUCAGAUCCAAAUGCAUUGUUUCUUGUUACCGUUCUUAUGCCCCUGUUUUUUACUGCUCUGGUUUCUAAUCUGAUUCUGUGUGCAUUGCACACCUAAGAAUGCAGGCGUGCAAACAUUAUGAUUUCAUUGGUUUUACCCCAUUAGGAGUUCUUGAUUUGGCAAAAAUACUGUUUGGUCCCCUCCCUUGUGUUCAUGUGACCAGAUACAUUAUCCAUCGAACAGAAACAUCAAAGAUGUCUAUGAUUCAUCCAUGCAUAGAGCUCAGUUCCAGGAUUCGUCUCCUCCUGGUUUGAUCUGGAGAGGUAAUUUUUAAAAAAUGGGGAUCUGGGGAGCUUGGUUCAACUGUAAUUGAUGAUCCAAAGGAACCACUAGCAUCAUCUACCACAGCUUCAACAGAUAAGAGGUAACAAGGUUGGGUGAGAUAGAAGAUAUCGUGAGAAAGAUGAUGAAUAUUAUUGCGUCACUCUUCACCUUCAACGGUGACCUCGCUGGACUCAGGAACCCCAGUAUUUUUUCAUGGCAGAUUCUUCGAUUCUUUGUUCGUGAGGUGAUAUUUUGUAAGUAAGACACUCAGCCCUUUGUUUUCUUACUCGCUGUUAGGUUUGGUCAAUUUUCGCGGUAAUGGCUCAAAAAUAGAUAUUGAAAUUGUUAUCUUUACCGUCUGUUUUGUUUGAACUUCACGUCUUAUAGGGUUUCACCAUGGGGGCAGGCAGUGAGAAAAAUCAACGGCUCGGCUCAGUUGGUAGAUGAAUCCGAUAUAAAGUAAUCUUUUUAUGCAAUUAUAUGUUUUGAUGUAUGUUUUUAUCUUUGAGCAGUCUAGAAAUUUAUUUAUAUUCUGUGGAGGCAAGAUUUUCUUUUGAUAUUCUCACUUGCACAGCUGAUCGAAAGUCAUGGUCUCACAUGUUUGUCUAUCAGCCAUGGUGAACCCGAUUCGAUCAUCUGACUUUUUUAUGCAACUUUGUUGCCUGUAGGAUCGUGUUGUUAAACUCUGACUAAAUUUAUGUAGAUUGUACCUAUAAAUUCCAUCAGCUAUGUUAUGUAAUAGACUUAGGAGUUAGGACAGUAUUAGUAUUAGGUGAACAAUACAUCUUAUAAUCCAUCUAUGUUGGAAUCUAUGCUACAACAUUAAACCUAUACGCCCUCCAUCAGACGUGUUCACAAGAUUGUGUCAGAUAAUCUAACUCCAAAAUGCAGUUACCUAUACAUUUAGGAUCUUUAUCACUAAUCAUAAUCAACUUCUAUGAAUUUUUAUCUUCUUUAUACAAAAGCAGCAUGAAUUCGACAGGAUCAUGCGCCAAGCAAGGCGCACCCUAAAUUGUUUGGAGAGUGGGUAUAUGCAAGGUUUACAUGGCAAUCCUUCCAUGGUUUCGAUGUGUAUGGUUUGUCUGAUGCUUGCGUUUUAUGGAUGAUGUUGAUUCCCUGGAGGGUCUGCAGGCUUUGUGGUCUUAGAAUCCUCUGAUGUCGGCUUAUUCGUUAGAUCAUCAUUUGGCGGAACUGUCUUCCUAUGUUGUCCAUGAUUCUGAGUUCCCUGCUAGCACUCAUUCUAUAUUUGCUGCUUCUGAUGUACUUUUGUUGACUAAUACUCUGAAUGAUAGCUGCUGAGGAUUUGAGCGGUUGUGUGUUUUGUGUGUACAAAUUCUAUGGAGUUCUUGCAAGUGUAAUGAUUUGAUCUAAACAUGUCAGUUUCACUUAAUGGAAAUACCACCUACUAAGUUUAUUGCUUGAUA